GUUGAUUUUGUUCUCUAUCCUCUUCAGCUCUACUCUUCCUCUUCCCAUUUCUUUUUGUUACCUUAAUUUCCACUUUUUAUGUCUAUACACAAAUAUGGGUAUGUAAUGUUUAUCUAUAUACAGACACACAAAAACAUAAGUUGGGUAUCUCUUUUUCAGAGGAAAGAUCUGAUCUUUUUGAGUUUUUAUGGUCUGGAGAAUUGAUGGUAUUUGGAAAAAAGAAAUUAACCCUAAUUUCAAGAACAAAAGGUACUAGCUUAAGGAAGAAGAAGAGGAAACUUCUGUUUGUCUGAUUUUUUAUUUAUAGGGUUAUUGAUUCUUUUUCCUCUCUUUAAUUGUGUUUGGAAGUGUGUGGAGGUUGUGAAAUCUUAAUGAAAAUUUUGUUUUGAAUCAAUGGAAUCUAUUGAGAGCAAAAGAUAAGAAAUGUGUGAGGGUGAGGUUAGGGUUUG